AGUGAACGCUGGCGGUAGGCCUAACACAUGCAAGUCGAACGGCAGCACAGUAAGAGCUUGCUCUUACGGGUGGCGAGUGGCGGACGGGUAAGGAAUACAUCGGAAUCUUCUUUUUCGUGGGGGAUAACGUAGGGAAACUUACACUAAUACCGCAUACGACCUACGGGUGAAAGCAGGGGAUCUUCGGACUUUGCGCGAUUGAAUGAGCCGAUGUCGGAUUAGCUAGUUGGGGGGGUAAAGGCCCACCAAGGCGACGAUCCGUAGCUGGUCUGAGAGGAUGAUCAGCCACACUGGAACUGAGACACGGUCCAGACUCCUACGGGAGGCAGCAGUGGGGAAUAUUGGACAAUGGGCGCAAGCCUGAUCCAGCCAUACCGCGUGGGUGAAGAAGGCCUUCGGGUUGUAAAGCCCUUUUGUUGGGAAAGAAAAGCAGCAGGUUAAUACCCCGCUGUUCUGACGGUACCCAAAGAAUAAGCACCGGCUAACUUCGUG
rnacentral:rRNA from 1 species